GACGAACGCUGGCGGCGUGCUUAACACAUGCAAGUGGAGCGACGAACCAGGGCUUGCCCUGGGGCAAAGCCGCGAACGGGUGAGUAACACGUGGGUAACCUGCCCCGAUGACCGGGACAACCCGAGGAAACUCGGGCUAAUACCGGAUGUGCUCGCGAGCCACAAGGCUCGCGCGGAAAGGAAGCUUCGGCCUCCGCAUCGGGAUGGGCCCGCGGCCCAUUAGCUUGUUGGUGGGGUAACGGCCCACCAAGGCCGCGAUGGGUAGCUGGUCUGAGAGGACGAUCAGCCACACUGGGACUGAGACACGGCCCAGACUCCUACGGGAGGCAGCAGUGGGGAAUCUUGCGCAAUGCGCGACAGCGUGACGCAGCAACGCCGCGUGGGGGAAGACGGCCUUCGGGUUGUAAACCCCUUUCAGUUGGGACGAAGGUCGACUCGUUAAUAGCGGGUUCGACUGACGGUACCUUCAGAAGAAGCCCCGGCUAACUACGUGCCAGCCGCCGCCGUAAUAC
rnacentral:rRNA from 1 species